rnacentral:tRNA from 1 species
GUAGUCGAGGUCAAGUGCUUAAGGUGAUGGACUGGAAAUCCAUUGGGGUUUCUCCUCACAGGUUCAAAUCCUGUGGUUUAUA